CAGCAGCCGCGGUAAUACGUAGGUGGCAAGCGUUGUCCGGAAUUAUUGGGCGUAAAGGGCUCGCAGGCGGUUUCUUAAGUCUGAUGUGAAAGCCCCCGGCUCAACCGGGGAGGGUCAUUGGAAACUGGGAAACUUGAGUGCAGAAGAGGAGAGUGGAAUUCCACGUGUAGCGGUGAAAUGCGUAGAGAUGUGGAGGAACACCAGUGGCGAAGGCGACUCUCUGGUCUGUAACUGACGCUGAGGAGCGAAAGCGUGGGGAGCGAACAGGAUUAGAUACCCCGGUAGUCCCUGUCUCUUAUCC
rnacentral:rRNA from 1 species